GAUGAAUUUUUCAGCCACUUCAUGACAUUCAGUGUGGCAAUGAACAUACUUGUAAGUCCAGCAUUGGUCGAGCAACACUGGAGAUAUGCUGCUGAUCUCCUCCGAUUCUUUGUUGAGAGAGGCCGAGAACUUUAUGGUAACCAGUUUCUGGUCUACAACGUGCACUCAAUGUUGCACAUUGUGGAGGAUGCCGUGACCUUUGGAGGAUUGGACAAUUGUAGCGCUUUUAAAUUUGAAAAUUGUCUCAAGAAAAUAAAGAGGAUGGUAAGGAGUGGAAGAUGCCCCCUGUCACAAGUGGUGAAAAGGCUUGAGGAAUGCGCUGGACAGCCAAUGGAGCAUGGUAGGCAGAGGUCCAAUUCUUCUUUUAUUUUGAAUCGCCGCGAAUGCUGCGAGGUCAUAGAGGAGAGGGAUGGAAGCCAGCUUUGCCGUGUAUACCAGCACCCAGAACCACUUUUCAGUGUCCCUUGUGACUCCACAUUAAUCGGAGUACUGAAGUACAAGAACAAUGACACCGUUUUGAGAUGGAUCCAAAAAGACAACCUGAAAAGAAAGGCAAUCAAGAUUCCUGUUGGGGAAAAAAUCCUCUUCAUGGCCAUUCUUCAUGACAUUGCAAAUGUAUAGCAUCGUCAAAUUUUUGGGGGAAAGGACUGUUGGCAUAGUGGCCAGUAAUUGGAUUAUAAAAGAGGGAGAUAAGACAUGCAGCUACUGGCCACUCCACAAGCCCACACAGAGGGCAAAGGACAAAGAUUUGCCCGAUCCUAAAACCUGGCUAAAAAGGCCA